AUGGCGUAAUAGUGAGCGGUUGAGAAAAAAGUGAAUAUUAAUCCUUGUCAUUCUGAAUCGCCUCCCUAUAAUGCGCCUCCAUCGACACGGAACAUGUGAACAACUUCACAGAGUAUCCGGGGCCGACAGAGAAAAAAUCCUGAAAAAACGGGUUGACUCUGAAAGAGGAAAGCGUAAUAUACGCCACCUCGAGUUAGCAAGCGAAAACGCGUAACUCACUGCUCUUUAACAAUUUAUCAGAC
rnacentral:ncRNA from 1 species